rnacentral:misc_RNA from 1 species
UCUUGAAUUUCCAUUAUUAGAAAAAUUGAAAUUUUGUGCUUGUAAUGGGAUGAAGACUUUCUCUUAUGGAUCCUUAAGCAUGCCAAAGCUAAAGGAACUUAAAAUAAAUUAUGCUUACCAUCAAUUAAUGGGAUCUCCAGACCUUAAUGCAACAAUGAGUCAAUUGUUCAACAUGAAGAAAAGAGGAACUUGAUGUUACUAUGGAUGAUAGUGAGGAUGAACUUGACCUUAUUUUCGGAAGGUGGAAUUUUAAAAGGUGAUCAACUAUAUCUUAAGGAGGAUGAAUCAGAUGUUAUUGAGAAAGCAGGAGCUGAAGAACUACUUCAAGUCCUUCAGGAUUCCCAGCUUCGGGCAGAAGAGAAAAGUGGUUUUUGCAUAUGUAAUGUUGGGUUAUCAUCUUUAGAUAUAUAUUUUAACUAGACACCCUUUCUUUUAGGUAAACUUAUUUUAGAGACUAACUUUAUCAUAUUUAUAUAGAUUAUUUGCUCAAUGAUUUAAUUUAUCUUUCAAAUCAUAUGGAUGCUUUCUGCGCUCAAGGCUCUUUUCUUUUCAAAAAC